GCCCGCGUAGCUCAGGGGUAGAGCGUUGCACUCGUAAUGCAAAGGUCCAUAGUUCAAAUCUGUGUGUGGGCA
rfam:Trichoderma gamsii strain T6085 Scaffolds0033.1, whole genome shotgun sequence.